CUAUAAUUAGGGAUGGUAAUGAAUCGUGUAUUUUUUAAUAUUUUAUUCGAUUGAAUUCUAAUAAAAUGAAUUUAAAUAGUAACUUUUUUAUAAUAAUAUCUGAUGACCGCUGAGUUUCUUCACCCGGUAUAAGGUCAGGCCCAUUAAGGCAGUUCAUAAUCUGAAGACUUCUAGGCCCCCUCUAAAAAUCAGGUCCAGUCCAUUCUGUUCAAAGACCGGGUUUCAAUCCGUUUCUUCAGAACAGGCCGGCUUAGCUCUUCCGGCCCGAUGGACAGAUCCUCUCUGAGCCUAGUCUCAACCUCAUCCCCCGGUCCAGCUCAGAAUCAGGAAGGAAUUCAGCCCCUUCACCUUAUGGGACUAUCCGCAUGGGCGCCCGAAGAGAAUUAGGGGGCCGUUAUGCAUUGGACAAAGAUCUGAUUCCCUCGUACGUCCGUAUCAACGUAGCAGGGACAGGUGGUCCAAUGAUACAUGUUCUGUUAACACGUCACUAGCAGACAAAAGGAAACAUAUAAAAGGAGAGAUACUCUCCUCUAGGUAUAAGUUUUUCCAGUUUUUACAGAACCCAUUAUAAAACCCUAUUUUCUGGAUUUCAGAUCAUCAAUUGGCGCCGUCUGUGGGAACGAAGAUCUUUUCAUCGCCGGAGUUCCACUCUCACAAAUACCCACUGAGAUCCACAAUGGCUAACCACAACGAAAACAACGUCACUCCAAAUGACCUGAGCUCUGCCCAAGAGGGGCAGCAGUUCUCCUUUUCUAUUCCUACAACGCCAAACAAUCAAACACCAAUCCCUUUCAACCCCUCGCCAAGCCUGGCGGGGAAUGCUUCCGCCUCCACCUUAUCCAACCAAGACCUUCAAACCAUGGCCCUCCAACUACAAAGCACCGCCCACUGGUUGGGGCAGAUAAUGCAGCAACGGGGCCUUAGCACCCCCACAAACGUGUCACCAGUGGUAGAAGAACCCCAGACCAACGAACUUCAGCCUACCUUCAACCACCCCAGAAC
rnacentral:lncRNA from 1 species